GGGCCCUAACUCUGGUGGGCGGCUGGCAUAAAGUGUACCCGUGGCGGUGGGGCUCGGCAGCUUAUGGCGGAAAGAUUUAUCGUAACAACUCCUUCCUGCUUCUGUUUAGGUAAGGAAGUCAGUUUUCCUUACCAGCCAAGUUAUUUUCAGUCAGCCUUUUCUAUUGAAAUCUGACAGAUAUAGAAGCAUCCAGACUGAUACAAAAUGAAAAUUUGAGUUAUUAACCAUACCUAAUGAUGUUGGAAGAGGCAGAGUUGUCAUAUGAGCCCAGACAGAGCACUGUACCCUCUGUUGAUGCUACCCUGUGGGUGGAGGCCGGCUACAGCACAGUCACUCAGUGAGCAUCUGCACGGCUAACCACUGUGGGCCACGUAGAGAAAUAUGAGAAACUAGACACAUGCUUAGACACAGCCUCAUAAAAUGCUAUGAAAGGCGAAAGGCUGGGCUGUUGCUGAUUUUAAUAUUGUAUAAAAGAGUUUAAUUAUUUUUGAUUCUCUUAUUCUCAAAAAUGUGGUUGGCAACACUGAACUCCACCACCCUGCCUAGUCAGGGCACCCCUAAAUGUAUAGGGCCAGGGCACUCCUAAUAGAUAGGCAGGAGUGGCCUGAGGCAAGCUCCACUAUGAGCUGUCACAGCCGUAAUGCUACAGGCCUGGAUAUUCCUCAACUUUGAUCUGAGAAACCUCUCUCUAACUUUAGGCUUCUUCUGCCAUUGCCAAUUUCUUAACUCCAUCAAGGCUACAGAGGUCAUUGCUGAUGAUGGCAGCAGCAGUGGUGACGUUGGUGACAUUGGUGAUGGUGGUGGGUCAGCACUCUGAGCAUCCAAUCUCAGUUGCCGUCCAAGACCUGACCAGAACCCAGAGAGAGCAAGCCUGUCCUCUUCGACCAAAAUCCCACCCGCUUACCUGUGACCACAUCCGAAUGGGCGGGGUCAGCGCCACAGGUACCUACAUUCUCACUACACACAGUGACUAGGGCUUUAGUGGGAAACCUAGAAGCCUGGGGUGGGAUUUUCAGAAAGUUCACCAAACUCACAUGCCUGAUGGUGGAGGCUGUCUGCUGGCUGAGAGGCCCUUACCGUGUUGUCUUUCCAGGUGGGCCCUGGCAGAGUUCCUCACUAGAUUCCUACAGUGAGCAUUGAGAGCUGGGAAGGGGGAAAGAGAUGGGAAGGGGCUGAGUCCUUUUCAUCAGUCCUGGGCAUCAGUCAUGUCCAACAGUGGUAAGCCCAGCCUAGAUCCAAGGGGAGGGAAAACAGCUGUCACAUCUCAGUGGUUGGGUACCACACACAUUGUUGGAAGGGCAUGGGAUGCGAACACAUAUCCCCAUGUUUGAAAUACAUAAUUUACACCAUCAAAAGGUGAUGGCACCGGUGACGAUGACGGCAGCAACAGGCUGAGAGCUAUUCCUUCCUGUGUCUACCAGAGAGACUGACUACAGUGGUUUUUACUGUGACACAUCCUUCAUUUCAUUCCACCAGAGCCUUGUUCAGAGAACCCCAUCUCUAUGAACUGAUAUUAACCGCCAUCCUAGGUAGAGAGCUGGCUGCAGUUUGUAGGGACUGACUUGAAGAGACAGGACUGCUUGGUCCGUGUGACUGAAUAGCAGCCAUAGAAGAAAGGAGUGGAGACAAGUGCCCCCUUUUACAAUGUUAAAUUGCAUUUAUUUGUUUGUUCGUGUGUGUGUGUGUGUGUGUGUGUGUGUGUGUGUGUGUGUGUGUACAAAUACCACAGCAAGAACACGUGGAGGUCAGAGAACAACUUGGGGGACUCAAUUCUCUCCUUUCACCGUGUGGCUUUUGGGGACGGAACUCAAGUCAUCAGGCUUAGCAGCAAGUGCCUUUAUUCACAAAACUGUCCCUGUGUCCCUCAAUAGUCACUCUUGUGGGGUCAUUUAGCUCAUCCCACACUGUCAGGUACACAGAGCGAGCUAGAUGCAAGUUCAGUUAUUGUAUGAUCACUGUGUAUAGGGGCUUGGAGGAGUCAUUUAAUUCUGGUUUGCAAAUUUCCCUUUUGAAAACAAUAAACUGAUGCUAAAAGAUAAUUUGGCUUAAGUUUGUAUUGUUACACAUUCAUUAAUAUAACAAUGGAUUUUACUAUGACAUGUCCAUACUUGUGUAUUGUGUAUUUUGAUCAUAUUGGUCUCCCAUCACCUUCUGGCCAGCUCCCACUCCUGUUGAUCCCCUCCCUCUUCCCAACUCAUCCUCUGUUUUCAUGUUUUUGUGAACCGAUGAGUUUCCUUAGCGUUGCUUGCAGAAGCACAGGCAAGAGUUUAUUUACAGGAGUACAGGCACCUUAGUGGCUACACCACAGAAGAAAACGUCCUCCGCUCCCCAGCAGCCACAAGGAUGGUUUUUGCUUUUGAUUUUAACUUCCUUUUAACCCGAAAGUAAUUUUCACAACUUUCAUCAACAAAGAAGACUGGGUUCCCACCUGCCUUCUAUAGGGUAAAAGGGACAGCCAAAGAAACACACCCUGACCCUGAGACCGGGGACAAGAGGUUUAAAAGGGCCAGUGAAAGAAACACACUCCAUCCCUGGCCAACUCAGUACAAAUAAACAAUCCCUGAGCAGGAAAACCAACCAAUCCCUGAGCACGAAAUCUUGUCAGUCUGUGAGUUUGUCCAAGUUUAGGGAUUGGAGUUUGAACAAUUCCUACACUGGAAAAAUUCUACCUCUGAGAAGCCCUAUAUAAGCCCUGUACCUGCUGAGUGGGGGCCACCUUUUCCACCCGGGCACAGGCAGCCACCCGCUUGGAUUCUUCCAUCCCGGUAAAUUCCUGAAUGAGGUUUGAGGAAGACCUUUCCCAGGAAUGGGAACAGAGAAGUAACAGCUUUCACUAGAGGGAGGGGCGAGCAGAAAUGUAACAACUUUACUGGGAAACCCUCCCCUGACAAUUGGAGUUGUUACAUUGGGGAAACCUUUCCCUGGAGAAGGGCUGUAAGUUGCUGUGUUUGGGUGACUCUAGUUUCCCUGGGCUCCUGACUCCCAGGAUCCUUUUUCAUCUGAGCUGCAAUGCUUACACCUUUGACACUGUUGGCUAUGAUAUCCACCUAGGCUGCAAGUAUCUCUCUGAGAUACUAAUGAGUCUGCCUUUCUAGACUCAUCUUAGGAUUUUGUUUGUUUAUUAUUUGUGUGUGGUG